CACGAUACAGCUGCAUGCGGCGGUUCUGUGCUGUUGACGAAGAACGCUAGACGUUAGUUAUCCGUAAGCUUCCGUCCGGUGCAGCUCGAGACGGAUUUUUGACGUCUGUUACGGUUCGGUGUUCGGUCGUUGAGACACGCGUGCCGUAAAAGUGUGUCGUAGUGUCGUACCCGCAAGUUGGGCAAGCUGACGUACCGCGUGUCGAUUUUGCCAACCGAACGAAAGGGGUGAGCGGAGAAAUUCGAAAAAAAAAAAAUUCGUGACGCUGUGACAGAUAUUGUGCAAAGUGUGCUUAUGCAUUGAUUUCCGAAGAAGAAUCGGCAGUGCCUCAGCUUGUUUGAUGUGAAGUAACGAGCAAAGUCCCGCAGGAAAGCCGCUCGAACAGUCAAGUGGUCCACUUCUGUGAAGACGGUUCCAAUGUUGACCACCGUACACGAUGGUAUGUUGGUUAGGUUUUUGCAGAUUGCAUAACAAGCGGACAGGUGACUGCUCUCCGCGGUGGUGGUGGUGGUGCUGGUAGUAUCCGUUGCGUACAGUGUGGUAUAUAGUUCGCCGGCUCGGAUGUGUACCCGGUUCGAAUAUUCCGGCAUGUCCUACGACCACUUCGCUACACAAGCUCCCUAUCAAUCAACCGGUACAUUCGGUGUUGCUCUACUAUCAACCUUGGACGGCGCCCUCCACACCUCCACACGAUGACUUGCCGGGGGUCUCUCUAUAGCCUUCUCUUUCGAUGUUUCCUGCAGUGUUUUGGGGCGGUACGUGCCUAAGGAUUGUUUGCCCGAGUGACGCAGGAACUGACCGUGCUGCGUUGAAGAAGAAGAAGAGGAAAAAAAGUUCUGUGCACCGAGUUGGUGGAAGCUGUUUUGCGACAGUGAAUGUGUAACGCCUGCUCCGUGUAACGCCACCCGAGAUAUAUAGCGCAAAUAUUGAAGGCAUUGUGGAAUGAAUAAAAAAAGUGUAAAAUAGUAUCCGCAAUAGUGCGCCGUAAGUGUCUAUAGCAAGUCGAGUGGAGUUGUGAUAAUUCCGUGUGAAUAUAUCGGGCCACCGGCGGUGUAAGGGAGUGUGGAUGUGUAUGAACAGUUUCAUCUUCACCUCCCAAUUCUUCGUAACCGGUUCCGUUUUGUUGGGCAUUAUCACUCUUUUGUUGUUUUCUAUCAAAGUCGGACAUUCGGUAUAGUAUCUUCGCUGAUAGAAAGGUCGUGCAGGCAUCAUCUCGCUUCAUACCAACGGAUCCACCUGUUUGACACGCCUGCCAUCAACACAUAGUACACUGAGAGUUCUUCAUUCUUCCGAACUAGAAGGU